GGGUAUCCCUGAGAGCAUGCCUCUUUGAGUAUCGUUUCAACCCAAUCUCAGCUCCGUGCUGAGGAAAAUGAGUGUUCUUGAUGUUACAAUCGAGUCACUUUAAAUGCAGCUGACACUUAUUUCCAGCUUAUCCCAAAACGCUCGGUUGUUAAGUCCUGAAUUCCGCUAUAAGUCGUGACUUUAGCUGGGUCAUCAAUUGACCAGGAUCAGACCAACUAGCUUUUGAUGUUUGAUACGUGACUUCGGUCAUUUCUACAUCGAAUCUAGGGCCUGCUUUUCUGAUUGAUUAACUAUAUGACUGCUAAACCGAUAGGAACUCGUUGGAUGCUCUGAGUGUGAGUUGGAGUCGAAUAAUUCGAGUGUUCGUUAAACCUUAAUCCCAAAAAGUCCUCAAAAAACUUUUUGAAAAUUUGAUCUCAAAUGAAGCAAGAAAACCCGCCGAAUUUAAGCAUAUUAUUAAGCGGAGGAAAAGAAACUAACAAGGAUUCCCCUAGUAACGGCGAGUGAAGCGGGAAGAGCUCAAAGUUAAAAUCGGGGCGCCUAGCGGCGAUCUCGAAUUGUAAUCUGUAGACGCGUUUUCAGUCUCGACCUGGGUAUAAGUCUUUUGAAACAAGGUAUCAGAGAGGGUGAGAAUCCCGUCUUUGACCUGGAGUUCGGGGCGUACGAA
rnacentral:rRNA from 1 species